GGCUGGUGAGUGACAGGAGGCGGGGGCUGGUGAGUGACAGGAGGCGGGCAUCACGCGCCGCCAUUUUAGCCGUUGGGCUUUUGCCGCCAAACGGCACGAGGUCACUUGCCCGCCAUUUGACUUCGUGGAUCCAUGUGGAGAAACCCAGCUACCUCACUGUGGUUGGAUGUAAUGACUUCGCGACCCACUCUGGUGGAUGUAAUGACUUCACGACCCACUAUGUUGGAUGUAAUGACUUUACGACCCACUCUGGUGGAUGUAAUGACUUCGCAACCCACUCUGGUGGAUGUAAUUACUUCACGACCCACUCUGGUGGAUGUAAUGACUUCGCAACCCACUCUGGUGGAUGUAAUGACUUCGCGACCCACUCUGGUGGAUGUAAUGACUUCGCGACCCACUCUGGUGGAUGUAAUGACUUCGCGACCCACUGUUGGAUGUAAUGACUUUGCGACCCACUCUGGUGGAUGUAAUGACUUCGCAACCCACUCUGGUGGAUGUAAAGACUUCGCGACCCACUCUGGUGGAUGUAAUGACUUCGCGACCCACUCUGGUGGAUGUAAUGACUUUGCAACCCACUAUGUUGGAUGUAAUGACUUCGCGACCCACUCUGGUGGAUGUAAUGACUUCGCGACCCACUCUGGUGGAGAAUUCCAAUGAUUUACCACCCUCUGAGUGUGAAGAGCUGAGAACUGGAGAACAAUUGAGUUCCUUCCAGAGGUAUUAAUACAGAUUGGAACCUCACGAAACAUGCAUGCAAAAAAAAUCCUGGAUUGGGCUCGGCUGGGAUCACUCCAGACUGUGAUCAUGAUGAACAUCCACCAAGAUGAGCUGUUAAACUAUACC